GCCUGUGUGGUAUAGUGGUUUGAACUUUGGACUUCUGAAGACUGGGGUUUGAAUCCCUGCUCGGCCU